rnacentral:rRNA from 1 species
UACGGAGGGNGUUAGCGUUGUUCGGAAUUACUGGGCGUAAAGCGCGCGUAGGCGGACCAGAAAGUUGGGGGUGAAAUCCCGGGGCUCAACCCCGGAACGGCCUCCAAAACUCCUGGUCUUGAGUUCGAGAGAGGUGAGUGGAAUUCCGAGUGUAGAGGUGAAAUUCGUAGAUAUUCGGAGGAACACCAGUGGCGAAGGCGGCUCACUGGCUCGAUACUGACGCUGAGGUGCGAAAGUGUGGGGAGCAAACAGG